UGGCGAACGGGUGAGUAACACGUGGGUGAUCUGCCCUGCACUUCGGGAUAAGCCUGGGAAACUGGGUCUAAUACCGGAUAGGACGAUGGUUUGGAUGCCAUUGUGGAAAGUUUUUCGGUGUGGAUGAGCUCGCGGCCUAUCAGCUUGUUGGUGGGGUAAUGGCCUACCAAGGCGUCGACGGGUAGCCGGCCUGAGAGGGUGUACGGCCACAUUGGGACUGAGAUACGGCCCAG
rnacentral:rRNA from 1 species